rnacentral:rRNA from 1 species
AGAGUUUGAUCAUGGCUCAGAUUGAACGCUGGCGGCAGGCCUAACACAUGCAAGUCGAACGGUAACAGGAAGAAGCUUGCUUCUUUGCUGACGAGUGGCGGACGGGUGAGUAAUGUCUGGGAAACUGCCUGAUGGAGGGGGAUAACUACUGGAAACGGUAGCUAAUACCGCAUAACGUCGCAAGACCAAAGAGGGGGACCUUCGGGCCUCUUGCCAUCGGAUGUGCCCAGAUGGGAUUAGCUAGUAGGUGGGGUAACGGCUCACCUAGGCGACGAUCCCUAGCUGGUCUGAGAGGAUGACCAGCCACACUGGAACUGAGACACGGUCCAGACUCCUACGGGAGGCAGCAGUGGGGAAUAUUGCACAAUGGGCGCAAGCCUGAUGCAGCCAUGCCGCGUGUAUGAAGAAGGCCUUCGGGUUGUAAAGUACUUUCAGCGGGGAGGAAGGGAGUAAAGUUAAUACCUUUGCUCAUUGACGUUACCCGCAGAAGAAGCACCGGCUAACUCCGUGCCAGCAGCCGCGGUAAUACGGAGGGUGCAAGCGUUAAUCGGAAUUACUGGGCGUAAAGCGCACGCAGGCGGUUUGUUAAGUCAGAUGUGAAAUCCCCGGGCUCAACCUGGGAACUGCAUCUGAUACUGGCAAGCUUGAGUCUCGUAGAGGGGGGUAGAAUUCCAGGUGUAGCGGUGAAGUGCGUAGAGAUCUGGAGGAAUACCGGUGGCGAAGGCGGCCCCCUGGACGAAGACUGACGCUCAGGUGCGAAAGCGUGGGGAGCAAACAGGAUUAGAUACCCUGGUAGUCCACGCCGUAAACGAUGUCGACUUGGAGGUUGUGCCCUUGAGGCGUGGCUUCCGGAGCUAACGCGUUAAGUCGACCGCCUGGGGAGUACGGCCGCAAGGUUAAAACUCAAAUGAAUUGACGGGGGCCCGCACAAGCGGUGGAGCAUGUGGUUUAAUUCGAUGCAACGCGGAGAACCUUACCUGGUCUUGACAUCCACGGAAGUUUUCAGAGAUGAGAAUGUGCCUUCGGGAACCGUGAGACAGGUGCUGCAUGGCUGUCGUCAGCUCGUGUUGUGAAAUGUUGGGUUAAGUCCCGCAACGAGCGCAACCCUUAUCCUUUGUUGCCAGCGGUCCGGCCGGGAACUCAAAGGAGACUGCCAGUGAUAAACUGGAGGAAGGUGGGGAUGACGUCAAGUCAUCAUGCCCCUUACGACCAGGGCUACACACGUGCUACAAUGGCGCAUACAAAGAGAAGCGACCUCGCGAGAGCAAGCGGACCUCAUAAAGUGCGUCGUAGUCCGGAUUGGAGUCUGCAACUCGACUCCAUGAAGUCGGAAUCGCUAGUAAUCGUGGAUCAGAAUGCCACGGUGAAUACGUUCCCGGGCCUUGUACACACCGCCCGUCACACCAUGGGAGUGGGUUGCAAAAGAAGUAGGUAGCUUAACCUUCGGGAGGGCGCUUACCACUUUGUGAUUCAUGACUGGGGUGAAGUCGUAACAAGGUAACCGUAGGGGAACCUGCGGUUG